GUCUGAAUAAAGGUUUCAAUGUUGUGUAAGGAAAAAAGACUGCACAGGACAGAUUCUUGGGAGGAAAAAGUAGCUCAGAUCAUGUCUGGAGACUUUGAUUUGGAAACUGAGAGAUGGGAUACACGUGAUAGAGGAAGAGCAGAUCAGAUAGGAUCAAAAAUAUCUCUGAGGAGGGGAAAUGUGUCCAAGAGAAAGAAGAGAAAACUCAGCUGGAAAAUUUUAGGGCUUCAAGAUACCAAGAUCCAUGCUCCACUGACAGACCAGGUCUCAAGGCUAUGAAGAGAUUAGCUAGCCCACGCUCCCUGCCCCGCAGACUCAUACAUAGGAUGUUUUGCUGUGAAUAUGGAUUUUCAGGCAAAGAACAGGAGAAUAAUAUGCCCAUUCUGUGAUCUUCCAAUUUCUGUGAUUUUGCUCAUGCCAUUUUCCAUAUCCACCAAAUAAACUUCUUUCA